UGUAUGGUUACACUGCCCAAAAUCCCAGUUUCUUUCUAAAACUAGUGUUACAGCUCUUUUACUCCUGUAGUUCAACAAGUUCCGAGUUCUUGUACCACGACUGAGAAGAAUGAGGUACACAGACACCAGAAAGUGAGUAAGGCAGAAUAGAAUUUAUUGAGCAACAGAAAUGCUCUUGACGGUGAGAGGGGACCUGAAGGUGGGUUGCCAGCCAUGAGGCUAAGUCUAGGGAUAUUUAUGGGCUUGAAAUGGGGAAGUGCAUGCUGGUUGGUCUGUGGGUAUGUUUGAAAAAGCACCAUUCAGAAAUAGGCACAAUAAUGUAGAGGACCUACUGGGGAAGGAUAUGCAUACGUAAAAUAGGUGAAGGAAAAGGACCAAUUUGGAGAGAGCAUGCCAAACGGAAAUGGGAGCUCUCAGUCUGGUUUGUGGAUUUACACUUUGGUUUUCAGGUUUUAGAUUGUCCUUGGCUUGAAGGUUGAGUUUCCCUGGGGAUCCAUCCCUUUCUGCCUAGGAAUUUACCUGCUGUGGUGAUGGUGGUUCUGUAGCCACUGCAGAGGAUGGGAUAAAGUUCUGAAAGCCUAAAAGCUGACUCGCACUGCAGCCUGCCACUUUGGUUCUAUCUUGUAAGCUUCCUUCCCAAUAACUGAAUGGGGCCCACUGUUACCAACUCUUGCUUCCAUUAAACUUGUUCUGACAGCCUUACUGAACAAGCCAGUGAUUCUGCUGGCCCAGUCUGUGCAACUCUGGUAGUUGCAUGAAGCUUGUGGUGGUGACCAGAAUUCCUCUUCUUUUCAGCACAUCACUACCUUCUGCUGGCUGUGCAAUGCUCUCCAUCCUACAGGACUCACAUCCAGAGUAUCUGCCUGGAAACCCUGUUGCCUGGAGACCACUUUUGAAGAACAUCCACUGCUGUGGCCUCUUAAAGAUUUAAGACAUCUAAUGAAGAGCUGACAGAAAUCAUCAAUUUGCUCCUCAGCAAGUGAUAUUUUUAAGUCACAAUAAAACACUUACCUGGAUAUUAUGUAUUCAGAUAAUCAUAAUAGCUCAAGUAUAGGAUGCAAAGGGGAACAAUACCUUUGAAAAAUUUGAAUUGUACAAAUCCAUACAAAAGAGAGAUGGGACAAAAAAUAAAAUCCGCAUUUUCUUCAUGGAAGACGCUGUCAGCCCAAAGGAAUUUUGAAGCAGAAAUUCAACAAAUGGCAUAAGGAUACUGGAAAACUGGAUGAAAGGAGAUACGAUGCAGCCAAAAGAAUUCCAUAUCAACUUGAAGCAUUCUGGAGAGGGUUCAAGAAUCCAGCAUAUCUUAACAAGGUCCAAGUAUCUCACAGUAUGAUGGCAGAAUUUGUCACCAGUAACAGACACCAAGUACAAAUGAUUAUUAUUUUAUUUUACUCUUUGUUUUUUAUUUAUUUAUUUAUUUUUGAGACAGAAUCUCACCCUG